rnacentral:rRNA from 1 species
UACGAAGGGGGCUAGCGUUGCUCGGAAUCACUGGGCGUAAAGCGCACGUAGGCGGCUUCUAAGUCAGGGGUGAAAUCCUGGAGCUCAACUCCAGAACUGCCUUUGAUACUGGAGAGCUUGAGUCCGGAAGAGGUGAGUGGAACUCCGAGUGUAGAGGUGAAAUUCGUAGAUAUUCGGAAGAACACCAGUGGCGAAGGCGGCUCACUGGUCCGGUACUGACGCUGAUGUGCGAAAGCGUGGGGAGCAAACAGG